UACGUAGGGCGCAAGCGUUGUCCGGAAUUAUUGGGCGUAAAGAGCUCGUAGGCGGCUUGUCACGUCGGGUGUGAAAGCCCGGGGCUUAACCCCGGUUCUGCAUUCGAUACGGGCUGGCUAGAGUGUGGUAGGGGAGAUCGGAAUUCCUGGUGUAGCGGUGAAAUGCGCAGAUAUCAGGAGGAACACCGGUGGCGAAGGCGGAUCUCUGGGCCAUUACUGACGCUGAGGAGCGAAAGCGUGGGGAGCGAACAGG
rnacentral:rRNA from 1 species